rnacentral:rRNA from 1 species
UACGGGGGGGAGCAAGCGUUGUUCGGAUUUACUGGGCGUAAAGGGCGCGUAGGCGGUCAGCACAAGUCAGUUGUGAAAACUAGAGGCUCAACCUCUAGACGUCGAUGGAAACCAUCUGGCUAGAGUCCGGAAGAGGAGAGUGGAAUUCCUGGUGUAGCGGUGAAAUGCGCAGAUAUCAGGAAGAACACCUAUGGCGAAGGCAGCUCUCUGGGACGGUACUGACGCUGAGACGCGAAAGCGUGGGGAGCGAACAGG